rnacentral:rRNA from 1 species
UACGAAAGGUGCAAGCGUUACUCGGAAUCACUGGGCGUAAAGCGCGCGUAGGCGGUCUCGUAUGUCGAUUGUGAAAGCCCCGGGCUCAACCUGGGAACAGCAGUCGAAACUGCGAGACUUGAAUGUUGGAGAGGGUGGGGGAAUACCUAGUGGAGAAGUGAAAUUCGUAGAGAUUAGGUGGAACACCAGAGGCGAAGGCGCCUGCCUGGCCAAACAUUGACGCUGAGGCGCGAAAGCGUGGGGAGCAAACAGG